rfam:Stegodyphus mimosarum contig19143, whole genome shotgun sequence.
GCCUUUGUAGUGUAGGGGUCAGAACGCUCGACACGUAUUCGAGAGGUCCGUGGUUCGACUCCCGACGAGGGCA